ACGAGUUAGGGUCUUCCAGGCCCGACCUCCCAACCCUAUGUUUAUUAAACCUCUGUUGCUUCGGCGGACCCGUCCCACGACCGCCGGAGGACCGCCGUGAGGCGUCCUCUGGCCAGCGCCCGCCGAUAGCCAACCACUUAACUCUGAAUGAACCGUGUCAUUAUGUCUAAGUCUAUGAUUAAAUUAAAGCA
rnacentral:misc_RNA from 1 species